rnacentral:tRNA from 1 species
ACCUGGUUGGCUCAAUGGUUGAGCGUCUGCCUUUGGAUCAGAUCAUGAUUCUGGGGUCCUGAGAUCAAAUCCCAUAUCAGGCU